AUUGAACGCUGGCGGCAGGCCUAACACAUGCAAGUCGAACGAGUGGCGGACGGGUGAGUAAUGUCUGGGAAACUGCCUGAUGGAGGGGGAUAACUACUGGAAACGGUAGCUAAUACCGCAUACCCUCAGAUGUGCCCAGAUGGGAUUAGCUUGUUUGUGGGGUAACGGCGCACAAAGGCGACGACCCCGAUCUGGUCUGAGAGGAUGACCAGCCACACUGGAACUGAGACACGGUCCAGACGCCUACGGGAGGCAGCAGGGGGGAAUAGUGCACAAGGGGCGCAAGCCUGAUGCAGCAAUGCCGCGUGUAUGAAGAAGGCCUUCGGGUUGUAAAGUACUUUCAGCGGGGAGGCGUUACCCGCAGAAGAAGCACCGGCUAACUCCGUGCCAGCAGCCGCGGUAAUAC
rnacentral:rRNA from 1 species